rnacentral:rRNA from 1 species
GCGACAGGCUUAACACAUGCAAGUCGAGGGGCAGCACAGGUAGCAAUACCGGGUGGCGACCGGCGCACGGGUGAGUAACGCGUAUGCAACUUACCUAUCAGAGGGGGAUAACCCGGCGAAAGUCGGACUAAUACCGCAUGAAGCAGGGGCCCCGCAUGGGGAUAUUUGCUAAAGAUUCAUCGCUGAUAGAUAGGCAUGCGUUCCAUUAGGCAGUUGGCGGGGUAACGGCCCACCAAACCGACGAUGGAUAGGGGUUCUGAGAGGAAGGUCCCCCACAUUGGUACUGAGACACGGACCAAACUCCUACGGGAGGCAGCAGUGAGGAAUAUUGGUCAAUGGCCGAGAGGCUGAACCAGCCAAGUCGCGUGAGGGAUGAAGGUUCUAUGGAUCGUAAACCUCUUUUAUAAGGGAAUAAAGUGCGGGACGUGUCCCGUUUUGUAUGUACCUUAUGAAUAAGGAUCGGCUAACUCCGUGCCAGCAGCCGCGGUAAUACGGAGGAUCCGAGCGUUAUCCGGAUUUAUUGGGUUUAAAGGGUGCGUAGGCGGCCUUUUAAGUCAGCGGUGAAAGUCUGUGGCUCAACCAUAGAAUUGCCGUUGAAACUGGGGGGCUUGAGUAUGUUUGAGGCAGGCGGAAUGCGUGGUGUAGCGGUGAAAUGCAUAGAUAUCACGCAGAACCCCGAUUGCGAAGGCAGCCUGCCAAGCCAUGACUGACGCUGAUGCACGAAAGCGUGGGGAUCAAACAGGAUUAGAUACCCUGGUAGUCCACGCAGUAAACGAUGAUCACUAGCUGUUUGCGAUACACUGUAAGCGGCACAGCGAAAGCGUUAAGUGAUCCACCUGGGGAGUACGCCGGCAACGGUGAAACUCAAAGGAAUUGACGGGGGCCCGCACAAGCGGAGGAACAUGUGGUUUAAUUCGAUGAUACGCGAGGAACCUUACCCGGGUUUGAACGCAUUCGGACCGAGGUGGAAACACCUUUUCUAGCAAUAGCCGUUUGCGAGGUGCUGCAUGGUUGUCGUCAGCUCGUGCCGUGAGGUGUCGGCUUAAGUGCCAUAACGAGCGCAACCCUUGCCACUAGUUACUAACAGGUGAUGCUGAGGACUCUGGUGGGACUGCCAGCGUAAGCUGCGAGGAAGGCGGGGAUGACGUCAAAUCAGCACGGCCCUUACAUCCGGGGCGACACACGUGUUACAAUGGCGUGAACAAAGGGAGGCCACCUGGCGACAGGGAGCGAAUCCCCAAACCACGUCUCAGUUCGGAUCGGAGUCUGCAACCCGACUCCGUGAAGCUGGAUUCGCUAGUAAUCGCGCAUCAGCCAUGGCGCGGUGAAUACGUUCCCGGGCCUUGUACACACCGCCCGUCAAGCCAUGGGAGCCGGGGGUACCUGAAGUCCGUAACCGCGAGGAUCGGCCUAGGGUAAAACUGGUGACUGGGGCUAAGU